rnacentral:lncRNA from 1 species
AUAGCUUUGGAAAUUCCCUGCCAGAAUUGAAAAAUAGUAUAGGACCUUGAAGUAAUUUAAGAAGUAUAUUUACCUGAAACUAUGUACUGAAAUUUACAGUUUUUACAAGCAUGUGUCUUUUCAUUGCACACCGAAUAGAUACAGGUCAGACUUAUUCUGUAAUUAUUUACACGAGUUUUUUUAAUAAAUUUUAAUCUACACAUUUCAACUUUUCGAAUACCUUGUAUUUUAUGCGAUAUUUGAACAGUAUCUAUAGUCUUGCACCAACCUGUAAAUCAUAGUCAAUUACUAUUGGAGUCGAGUGUACCCACACGAGCAGGGUUCGAACUAACAACCUCAGUGUUGACUGGCUAGUGAUUACAGUAGUUACUAAUUUACCACUCGGCCACUGAGGUUCCCAUCUUCUACUUUAAAGUAAACAUUGUGUUUAUUUGUAAAUAUUUGAUUUAUCAUGGAAACGGCCCUAUAAUCUUUUUGUGUUGAAGUUGACCUUUAUACUAAGGUACAGAUAUAAAGAAUAGUCUGUCUAUUAACUUAAAAUUUCUGUUUCCGAAUACAACAUCAUAAUCUUAAUUGAUAAGAAUUGUCAGUUUUGUUAUCGAUGGUUUUUCCCGGCUACUCCGGUUUCCUGAACCAAUAAAAACUCGCCGCCAUAAAUAGUCCAAAGGCAGGGCUUAAAAGUGAUAUUUAAACACACAAAAAUAUAAAUCCAUUAAAGUAGAAGAUACAAAAUAUUAAAUGUGGAUUAAUAUUUUCAAGUUGAUGAAAACAAAAACUUUCAUCCACAAUUAUAUUUGCAAUUUUAAUUUAAACAUUUGCAUAAUCAAAAUAAAAAAAGCCAGACAUAUCUCUGUGAUAAAAAAAAAUAUUAUUCGUUGACUAUGAUUGUUUCAGCUUAAUGCAUUGUUCAAUGCAUCAUUGUAAUACAUAUCUAAAAAUGUUUAACCGUUAAAAUUAAUGAAGCACAUAAAUAUAGAAAGGGGGUUAACCCAUUUGUACAUUCCAUCGUUUGGUUUUAACCGUGUUGUUAAUUUAAACUACGUUUAAUCGAAAACCAUGUUUUUAUCUGUUAUUAUGUAUUUACAUCAUUUUCAGUCUUUUUUAACCUGCAUUACACCUCUCUUGGUAAAGUUCUAUUUGAUAAACAUAUAUAAAUACUACUUUACCAAUAUAUACUGGUAUAGACAAAACAUGUCGCCUGUAUGUGUGUUUUGGUUUCCUUGAAAAUAAAAGAUACUUUUUACAAAUACAUGCAUGUAUAUUUAAAUUAAUGAAUUAGGGGCACUAGCUACGAGAUAUAAGAAAUGAGAUGUGAAUUAUUUAUGUUUAAUCAAAACUAAAAGUAAUAUAAAAAAUAAUUUAAAUCUUUUUUUACAUUAUAUACCGGCAUUAAAAUACAGGUUAUAUGGGGAGAUAUUUGCUUAUUGUAGAAUAGCAUACAAGUAACCUUUAUACUUUCGCUUCAUUUCAUAAAUUUGGGUCGAUAUUUGAUCCUAAAUUACUUUUAGAAACUGUAUUCUGCAAAUUGUCCUGACCAUUUUUUUCUUUGAAACCAAUCGACAAAAAAUCAACUGCAAAUGUAUUGUUAUACUAUAUGUAAUGUAUAUGUUUGUAAAUAAGAAGGUACACUAAAGCAAUAUAGAUACAGAAAUCAUGAUUAUAAAAAUUUAUCUGUUAAAUUCCGUCGAUUUGUUAUCAUUCAUUCAUCUGAAUAUUUACAUACUAAACCGGAUUUGUAAAACCAAAAGAAAGAAAAUGUUAAUAGAGUUGCUAAAUAUACACGUUCAGCUUAUAAAAAAGAGACAUACGAUACUUUUGGUACAUUUAAACUAAUAAAUCUGGAGAAACGGACAAAAUUGUGUCUGUUUGUUUAGUUCACACAUCGUUGUCCAUGAAAUGGAAUUUAUGCAACUGUAUAACAAGGGUUAAACUGGUAUGACACCAGGUUUAAUCAACCAUUGUCUACGUAAAAAAUUGACCGUACCAUGUAAAACUAAUUGAGCAAAUAAACAAAACAAAAUUCAUAUAAUCUAACUUAGAGAUAUCUUUGUGUUUUCUUUUCUUUUCAGGAUGCACAAUAUGCCUUGGAGCAGAAGGCAUUGCUAUUUACAAAUGAGCUGUUAAGUGGAAAGACGACUCAAUCUGGAAACAACAUUUUGCAGAUCCACUAUGACUACUGUUUGUUCACUGUUGGACACCCAAAACAUUUGAUUGGAGGACACCAUUUUGUUAUAAAAAAUAGCAAAAACAUCAAAACAAUAUUCAUUUACUUACAUUUAAGUACGGCAAAUAUAUGCAUUGUAGUGGAUACAUUGAAGAUGUAAACAAUACAGUAAUUUAACUGCAAUUACUAGUCGAUCUAAUUCUCUACGUGCAUUUCAUAUGUUCAUGAAAAUAUUUUAUCAUUUACAUUUCUGUAUCAUUGGAUUCAAGUCAAUAUACAUACAAUGGUUUUAUAAAUAGUUGUAAAUGUAAUUAUUCUUGAAAGGAAA